rnacentral:lncRNA from 1 species
AUGAGUCUUAGGCAAGGUCAGCCUCCCCUUCUGCAGAAUGGGAAAGUUCUGGAUGACUUCUUUGAAAGGCAUGGGGUCAAGGAUGACUGCCAAGUCAUCAGAUGUCAUCAUACCUGCCUUUCUCCUGGAUGUCUUUGCUUAUCAUUACAAUUGAAAUGCAAGAGAAACCCUAAAGGAAGUGUGAAGACAAGAAGGACACAGCUCUCUGACCACGACCACAGAAAGUGGUUGGCAGGGCCUCUGAUACAAGUCAUCUCCCCUUUGACAGCAGCAACCAUCAAGACCAAUGCCAAUCACCUUGACAGAGUCUGCAAGCAUUGGGCCCAGGAAGCCCAGAGGAGCUGCAGAGGAAUGAGUGAGAAGUCCGCUAGGCUGAACACACACGGGAGAGCUGAGCUGCCUGCCCUGGC